UCACACUAUCUUGAUCAAGAUAGUGUGAAGCUUUUGAGAAUUUGUAGUUGUCUUCCAUUGAUGAAGCUUUUGUGGUGAAGCUUUGUUGGGUACCAUGAAUUGAUUUUGCUUCACACUUAAGAAUUUGUAGUUGUCCUCCAUUGAUGAAGCUUUGUUGAAUUUCCCAUUUUUUUUUUGGGAAAACUAGAAAUUUGUUGAAUUUCCCAAUUUCCCUUUUUUUUGUUUGUUUGGGAAACUAGAAAUUUGAAAAUGUAGGAGAGACAACAUAUACAAAUUUUGCUUCCACACUGUUGGGCAAGAGAUUGUGAUGCAAGCCACACCUUGUAGUAGUCGAAGGUUUGGAUGAACUAUAUAAAUUGAAUUUGCUUCGAAUAGUCUUGAUCAAGAGUGUGUGAAGCUUUCUACGAGUUGUAGUUGCCCUUCAUUGAUGAAGCUUUUGUUGGCACUAUAAAUUGGUUUUGCUUCACACUGUCUUGAUCAAGAAUGUGUGAAGCUUUUGAAAAUUGUGGUUGAACUCCUUUGAUGAAGCUCUUGUUGGCACCAUAAAUUGGUUUUGCUUCACACUAUCUUGAUCAAGAGUGUGUGAAGCUUUUGAGAAUUGUGGUUGCCCUCUAUUGAUGAAGCUCUUGUUGGCAUCAUAAAUUGGUUUUGCUUCACACUAUCUUGAUCAAGAUUGUGUGAAGCUUUUGAGAAUUGUGGUUGAACUUCUUUGACGAAGCUCUUGUUGGCACCAUAAAUUGGUUUUGCUUCACACUAUCUUGAUCAAGAGUGUGUGAAACUUUCUACGAGUUGUAGUGUUUGCAUUGUUACAGAAGAGAAAUGUCUGAAGCAGAUGCAAGAGGGCUGAAUAGCUUGAUCUUCGUAUGCCAUGAACUGAAGUUGUUGUUGGCUUGCAAUAAGAGGGCUGAAUAGCUUGAUCUUCGUAUGCCAUGAACUGAAGUUGUUGUUGGCUUGCAAUAAGACUUUGUUGGUGACUAUAACUCUUGUUGGGCAUAAGUGCUUCCCUAGUUGAGUUGUCAAGCUUGAGGGUUUUUGAUUAUUGGUGGUAUGAAGGAGAGUACGGGUUGUACAUUUCAUCACCUGGUUGGUGGCAUGAAGAUGAGUUCCUUCUUCACCUGGUUAGUGGCAUGAGUGGCAAGUUGCCAAAUGAUAUUAGAGUACGGGUUGUACAUUUCAUCACCUGAUUGGUGGCAUGAAGGAGAGUAUGGGUUGUACAUUUCAUCACCUGGUUUGUGAGAAUUAGGGCAACGUGUCAACGCACAUUGUAGCAAGUGUCGAAUGACACAAAGUAUGUUGAACCUUUUCGAAGCACAGUUGGCUUAUGUAUGAAUGUGUUGGAAUGUAUGAUUGAACGAAUAUACUGUGAAGCUGUUCAUUUAUUUGUAUAGUCUUGUUGACAUAUACUUAGACUUUGUUUCAUGUUGGAAGCAUUUAUGUUGAAGCUUUGAACCCGAGUGUUUCAUUGCUAGGAAUGUAAGAGGAUUAUGACCGAGUUGUCUAAAUCACCUCUUUAUUGAAUUUAUGCCAAAUAGUCUUCGUUACAUAGGAUGCCGAACAGCUGAAGCUUAACACUUGUACAAUGUGAGUUUACUUGUAAUAGUACUUCAAGUGAUUAGUGUUCUAUGGAUGGCCAAGGGUCUUACCAUCGAAGCUUCUAAGCUUGUAAAAGCCAGGGCGACUGAUGCCAACAACUUGAAACGGUCUAUCCUAAUUUGGACUAAGUGUUUCUUCACUCGGGACUCUAUCGCAGAGUAAUCUUUUAUUCAAUACCCAGUUCCCCACUUUGAAAGAAUGAGGUUUGACCCUUGAGUCAUAGUAGUUGGAGAUGCGCUGCUUGUAGGCGGCAUUCCUCAAGUGAGCCUGGUUUCUGUGUUCCUCGAUUAGAUUUAAGUUGAGGGUAAAUUAUUUGUCAUUUUCGCUUUGCAUGUAGUUCUGGACUCGAAAUGUUGCUUGUUCAAGCUCAACUGGGACAACUGCCUCUGUACCAAAGGCAAGUGAGAAUGGAGUUUCUCCUGUUGAUGUCCGAUACGAAGUGCGGUAUGACCAAAGAACUUGGGGUACAAAUUCUGG
rnacentral:lncRNA from 1 species